rnacentral:rRNA from 1 species
AUGCAAGACUACUUCGCGGAGAAUCCAACAUAUCCACCGCACCUCUUCCGCAGAAGGUACCGAAUGUGCCGAUCCCUCUUUGUGAAAAUUGUUCAAGCUUGCGAGGUCAAUUGUCGGUAUUUUACUCAAAGAAGAAAUGUCCCAGGCUUGAAGGGAUUUAGCGCAUAUCAAAAAAUCUCGGCAGUUAUGCGGGUAAUUGCAUACGGCAUUCCGGCUGACUAUGCCGAUGAGUACCUUCGCAUUGGUGAAUAUACUACAAUUGAGUCAGUGUGUAGGUUUUCUCAAGUGAUCAUCCGUGUCUUUGAUCCUGAAUAUCUUCGGGCACCCAACGAGGAAGACACAAAAAAACUGAUGGCAUCUAAUGAUAGAAAAGGUUGGCCUGACAUGCUAGGAAGUAUAGAUUGUAUGCAUUGGACUUGGAAAAAUUGCCCAAAGGCAUGGCAGGGAAUGUAUUGUGGCAAGUUUCGUAUCAAUGGGCAUGAAUACACAAAGGGGUACUAUCUUACAGAUGGUAUAUACCCUCCUUGGUGCAUAUUUGUCAAGAGCAUCAAAGACCCCCAAACUAGGAAACAAUGUGAAUUCGCAAAGGUACAAGAGGCAGCCCGAAAAGAUAUUGAGGAGCAUUCGGGGUUUUGCAAUCUAGGUUUGCCAUUGUUCGUGGUCCUGCUCGUUUUUGGGACAAGCGGUCCUUGA